GGCGGUUGGGAUAAGUUAGAUGUGAAAASCCCGGGGCUCAACCUGGGAAAUUGCWUUUAAAACUGUCCCAGCUAGAGUCUUGUAGAGGGGGGUAGAAUUCCAGGUGUAGCGGUGAAAUGCGUAGAGAUCUGGAGGAAUACCGGUGGCGAAGGCGGCCCCCCUGGACAAAGACUGACGCUCAGGUGCGAAAGCGUGGGGAGCAAACAGGAUUAGAUACCCUGGUAGUCCACGCCGUAAACGAUGUCGAUUUGGAGGCUGUGUCCUUGAGACGUGGCUUCCGGAGCUAACGCGUUAAAUCGACCGCCUGGGAGUACGGCCGCAAGGUUA
rnacentral:rRNA from 1 species